GAUGCAUUUCACAGAAAAUAUAUUAAUGGAUUUUCAAAGGUUAAUUUGUGAGGGUUUGUGUUUGCAACAGUCUUUGCAGAUGACGAGCGGUCUACUCAGUGUUGCAGUAGGAGUUGUGUUUGCUGUCACUCGGGAUGCGAGCGAGUCCCUUUUAACCACGUUCAGAGUCGCGCCCUUCACUGGACUACUAUUCUUCAUCGCUGGGUUGUUAUCCAACCUGUUGUUCAAAUUCCCCAGACUAUUACCUGUCUGCCUGUGU